rnacentral:rRNA from 1 species
AGUGAACGCUGGCGGUAGGCCUAACACAUGCAAGUCGAACGGCAGCACAGUAAGAGCUUGCUCUUACGGGUGGCGAGUGGCGGACGGGUGAGGAAUACAUCAGAAUCUACUUUUUCGUGGGGGAUAACGUAGGGAGACUUACGCUAAUACCGCAUACGACCUACGGGUGAAAGCAGGGGAUCUUCGGACCUUGCGCGAUUGAAUGAGCCGAUGUCGGAUUAGCUAGUUGGCGGGGUAAAGGCCCACCAAGGCGACGAUCCGUAGCUGGUCUGAGAGGAUGAUCAGCCACACUGGAACUGAGACACGGUCCAGACUCCUACGGGAGGCAGCAGUGGGGAAUAUUGGACAAUGGGCGCAAGCCUGAUCCAGCCAUACCGCGUGGGUGAAGAAGGCCUUCGGGUUGUAAAGCCCUUUUGUUGGGAAAGAAAAGCAGCAGGUUAAUACCCCGCUGUUCUGACGGUACCCAAAGAAUAAGCACCGGCUAACUUCGUG